GAUGAACGCUGGCGGCGUGCCUAAUACAUGCAAGUCGAGCGAACGGACGAGAAGCUUGCUUCUCUGAUGUUAGCGGCGGACGGGUGAGUAACACGUGGAUAACCUACCUAUAAGACUGGGAUAACUUCGGGAAACCGGGGCUAAUACCGGAUAAUAUUUUGAACCGCAUGGUUCAAAAGUGAAAGACGGUCUUGCUGUCACUUAUAGAUGGAUCCGCGCUGCAUUAGCUAGUUGGUAAGGUAACGGCUUACCAAGGCAACGAUGCAUAGCCGACCUGAGAGGGUGAUCGGCCACACUGGAACUGAGACACGGUCCAGACUCCUACGGGAGGCAGCAGUAGGGAAUCUUCCGCAAUGGGCGAAAGCCUGUCGGAGCAACGCCGCGUGAGUGAUGAAGGUCUUCGGAUCGUAAAACUCUGUUAUUAGGGAAGAACAUAUGUGUAAGUAACUGUGCACAUCUUGACGGUACCUAAUCAGAAAGCCACGGCUAACUACGUG
rnacentral:rRNA from 1 species